rnacentral:rRNA from 1 species
AGCUCGUGUCGUGAGAUGUUGGGUUAAGUCCCGCAACGAGCGCAACCUCUGUCGUUAGUUGCCAGCCUUAAGUGGGGCACUCUAACGAGACUGCCGACGUCAAGUCGGAGGAAGGUGGAGAUGACGUCAAGUCCUCAUGGCCCUUAUGCCCAGGGCUACACACGUGCUACAAUGGCCGGUACAAAGGGACGCAAAGCCGCGAGGUGGAGCCAAUCCCAAAAAACCGUCCUCAGUUCGGAUUGUAGGCUGCAACUCGCCUACAUGAAGUCGGAAUCGCUAGUAAUCGCGGAUCAGCACGCCGCGGUGAAUACGUUCCCGGGCCUU